rnacentral:rRNA from 1 species
UGGGGAAUAUUGGACAAUGGGCGAAAGCCUGAUCCAGCCAUGCCGCGUGUGUGAAGAAGGUCUUCGGAUUGUAAGCACUUUAAGUUGGGAGGAAGGGCAGUAAGCGAAUACCUUGCUGUUUUGACGUUACCGACAGAAUAAGCACCGGCUAACUCUGUGCUAGCAGCCGCGGUAAUACAGAGGGUGCAAGCGUUAAUCGGAAUUACUGGGCGUAAAGCGCGCGUAGGUGGUUCGUUAAGUUGAAUGUGAAAGCCCCGGGCUCAACCUGGGAACUGCAUCCAAAACUGGCGAGCUAGAGUAGGGCAGAGGGUGGUGGAAUUUCCUGUGUAGCGGAGAAAUGCGUAGAUAUAGGAAGGAACACCAGUGGCGAAGGCGACCACCUGGGCUCAUACUGACACUGAGGUGCGAAAGCGUGGGGAGCAAACAGG